UACGUAGGGUGCGAGCGUUGUCCGGAAUUAUUGGGCGUAAAGAGCUCGUAGGCGGUCUGUCGCGUCUGCUGUGAAAACCCGAGGCUCAACCUCGGGCCUGCAGUGGGUACGGGCAGACUAGAGUGCGGUAGGGGAGACUGGAAUUCCUGGUGUAGCGGUGAAAUGCGCAGAUAUCAGGAAGAACACCCGUGGCGAAGGCGGCUCUCUGGGACGGUACUGACGCUGAGACGCGAAAGCGUGGGGAGCGAACAGG
rnacentral:rRNA from 1 species